ensembl:lncRNA
ACGGAAUAUGCCCUUGCUUCAGUUUGGGCCGGGAGACCCGGCUGUGUUCCCGCGCACCCUCCCCCAGCUUCUUGUGCCACUCCCGCCUCCUGGCAUGAAAGAGAGCGUAAGAAGCAGGAAUGUCCUCGGAAGGCUUUCCGUGGGAGCCGUGCUCUGUGGCUGUGUGAUCAGCACUGUGUGCGCCCCAGUUCCCAACCGUGCAUGACAGGUGCCUGCCAGGAGAAAAAGACCUCUGCCCUAGCCAGACCCAGGAGAAUUCCCUAGCGUAGUGCAGCAGCAGAAGCAGAGAGUAGGACCACUGCUGUUAGCGUGUCUACACUGCAUCCCCGACGUAACGUCACGGCUUACGGCCCUGAGUCUGCUGAGGCGCUUCCAAAGGAAGGGCUCUCCUGCUCCCCAGAGGCUCCGCAGCAGAAGGCUGUGGAGAGGAGGAUGCUCUGCUUAUGCACAGCGCUUCCACCUACGCAGAAUGUAGCUACUCAGAAUGCUCAGUGGGGAGAUGCAUCCCUGGAUUAACAGUAUCAUCCGGGCGGCACAGUUGCAUAUAAACACCUGCGUUUCUACAUCAGAGCCCUCCCGUACCUGAAGGAAGCGGGCAGCCAGUCAGGGGCAGACCUGAGAAGACAGUGACCUUACGAAAAUUUGACUCAGCCCAUCUCAGAGGGUGCGAAAGCACGUGGGUUACAAAGUGUCCCCAAAUGGCGGCUCCUCUCCUGGAAAGCAGACGGAUACAAAAUGGCGCCUCCCUAUGUGGGCGUGUGGGAGGGAUUUCCUGUGCUGGGCCCUCCCACCUCCGGUCCAGCCGAUCGACACUGGGUUCUGCCCUUCACCGGAGGCUUUUUCCCACCCCGGCGUGCAGUCGGCACAGCGCUGCCCGCUGCUGAGAAGGAAGGGCGGCGGGCCGGAGGCGCAGGUCUGUGGAGCAGGAGCAGCAGCUUUACACGCCCGAGCGUUCCGUGUCUGGCUGCCCGAGUGGUCCCUUGCCAGCGCAGACUUACCUGCUCAGAAGCUAAUUUCUGCAGCAAAUGUCCCCUGAUACUCCUUCCUCCUAACACUUCUCCCCUGCACCCACGUGGGCAAACGGAGUGCUGCUGCUUCCCUCAGGACACAUCAGCCUGCUCUGUACACAUCAGCCUGCUCUCCUCCUCAGACUGCAGGGGAUGCUCUGCCCUGACGUGUGGAAUCAAACUCUGUAACUCAAGUAAGAUUACAAAGCAGAUGUGGUUUAUUCAGUGCUGCGCAGACACUGGGUGCAAAGGGGUUAGGUAUGCACAACUUGCACUCCGUCUGGAAAAAUAGUGCUACAGAUAUAGGCCAAACUAAUACAUAAUCAAUAGUUUUCCCAGAAUUUGGAUACAUAUUCAUUACACCCCCAAGAGUUUGUUAGCAUGCACACCCUCCCCUUCUGUGUGUGUGUAGUGAUGAAGAUUUGUUGUUUUCCUCGUGAAGGCUUCUGGCCUUUUUCACUGUAAACUUCUGACUUUUCGGGGAGGCAUCCCCCCAAACUGGUUUCUUCUUGCCCUGUGGACAUCUAAUCACCUCCCUGCCAAAUGUCCUUGGGCUGCUCUCAAACACUUAUCUUUAUGGCCUUCAUUCUCCUCUUCCUCAGUAUCCCAGACCCAGUGUCUACCAUCUCUUAUUUUCUAACAAGCUCUAUAUCCUUGCUUCUAUAAAGUAUAUGUAACUAUUCCCCUUCACCCCCCUUAUUCUCACUGUGAAGCCUUCUUGCAUUUUUACUUUCACUUGUGGGGCCCUUCUCACCUUUAAUUUCCUCCCUUUUCUUUAAUCUAGCAGGAUUUCCACCUGCUAGAUUUCUCCUCAUAGUGUGAAAUAAGCUCCACUUUCCACCUUUUGCCUUAACUCAUGUCUCUUCCAUACCUUGUACUCCCUUCUAGUAUUCUGCUAUAGGCACACAGAACACCUCAUUACGUGCAGGUAAGACCCACCAAUAGUACCAGUAUGACGCAUGCCAAGAAAAGCCGCCUCAACCAUUCUAGAUUCAGUAAUCAGAUAGUAAGUGAGCCCCAUAAAUCUGUUUCCCAGUCGUGUUAUCGAUACUUGUCCUAUGCAUGACUUUUGUUUGCUCCCAGAUUUCCCUUAAGACUGUUCUCAGAUCUUUAUUUAUGUAAGCACAGCAACUCUGAUUUAUUAUUGUGCAUUCCCCUUCUUCUUUAGCUGUUAAUAGAUCUAAUGCCAUUCUGUUUUGGAGUACUACUUUGGACAAAGAGGAUACCUCCUCUUGGAUUACUCAUAAUGUGUUGUGGCAUUUUCUACUAUUUCUAGAGUUGCAGAGAUAUUCACUAUAGCCUUUUUCCACUGACUCCCAAAACUGGGAUAAGGGCUCUCACAAAGCUAUGCUAUCCUGUAUUAUACCUUACCAAUAGGUUAUUUACACUUUUAACCCUCUUUAGAUUUUGAUACUGGCUCCAAAUAGUUCUCACUAUGCCUGGUGGGAGUUUGAGCUCUCCCAUCUCUUCCCAGCCAUCAGAAACCUUUACCCAAACGACACCUGCUCAUUAUAUUACUUCCAUUAUGAUAUUCAUGCCCACUAAUGAGAGUGUUAUUAUUUUCCUUAAUAGCAGACAUUGUUAAGUAUAGAAAUGUAAGGUUGAUCCAAAUAGAAGGGAGAAAAGUGACAAUUAAACAUUUAUCAGUAAUAAAUAAAUAAAUAAAUAAAUAAAUAAAUAUAAC